AAACAUUGGUUACAUUCUUUAUGGAGUCUAUAAUGUUACAAUGGUCAUUGUUUUGCUAAAUAUGUUAAUUGCCAUGAUCAACAGUUCAUUCCAGGAAAUUGAGGAUGACGCCGAUGUGGAGUGGAAAUUUGCAAGAGCCAAACUCUGGUUCUCCUACUUUGAGGAGGGGAGAACACUUCCCGUACCUUUCAAUCUGGUGCCAAGUCCAAAGUCCCUGUUUUAUCUCUUACUGAAGCUUAAAAAAUGGAUUUCUGAGCUGUUCCAGGGUCAUAAAAAAGGUUUCCAGGAAGAUGCAGAGAUGAACAAGAUAAAUGAAGAAAAGAAACUUGGAAUUUUAGGAAGUCAUGAAGACCUUUCAAAAUUAUCACUUGACAAAAAACAGGUUGGGUACAAUAAGCAACCAAGUGUAAGGAGCUCAGAAGAUUUCCGUUUCAGUAGUUUCAAUAAUCCUCCAAGACAGUAUCAGAAAAUAAUGAAAAGGCUCAUUAAGAGAUAUGUACUACAGGCCCAGAUAGAUAAGGAGAGUGACGAAGUGAACGAAGGUGAACUGAAGGAAAUUAAGCAGGACAUCUCAAGUCUCCGCUAUGAACUCCUUGAAGAAAAAUCUCAGAAUACAGAAGACCUAGCAGAACUUAUUAGAGAACUUGGAGAGAAAUUAUCCAUGGAACCAAAUCAAGAGGAAACCAAUAGAUAACGCGAAGACUUCCUUAGAAAUUCAUAUUUAUUUGUCCACUUGAAGCCAUAUUAUUUUCUGAUUUAUUUUCUUAAGUGCCAAUGUGCCCACCUUUUAAACAAGAAGAAGUUAAACGAUACCUUGGGCCAUCCUAUCUUCUGGAGCCCUAGUAUCUAAAUUUUUUGGUGAUUAAACUCCUUUGUUCAGGGUAAAGGCUGCAGAUUAUGAUGAAAAUUAUGU